AGGAGGAACAGCCCCAGUGGCGGGGCAGCUCUGGAAACCUGGAUUCAUCUCCGGCAGGAACUCCGUCUGCAGGGCCUGGAGGCUCCGGGCGGGG
rfam:Canis lupus familiaris chromosome 1, whole genome shotgun sequence.